CCUACGGGUGGCAGCAGUAGGGAAUAUUGGACAAUGGGGGAAACCCUGAUCCAGCGACGCCGCGUGAGUGAAGAAGGAUUUCGGUACGUAAAGCUCUGUCGGCAGAGAAGAAAAUGACGGUACCUGACUAAGCAGCCCCGGCUAACUACGUGCCAGCAGCCGCGGUAAUACGUAGGGGGCAAGCGUUAUCCGGAUUUACUGGGUGUAAAGUGAGCGUAGACGGCAGCGCAAGUCUGGAGUGAAAUGCCGGGGCCCAACCCCGGAACUGCAUUGGAAACUGUGAGGCUGGAGUGCAGGAGAGGUAAGUGGAAUUCCUGGUGUAGCGGUGAAAUGCGUAGAUAUCAGGAGGAACACCGGCGGCGAAGGCGGCUUACUGGACUGUAACUGACGUUGAGGCUCGAAGGCGUGGGGAGCAAACAGGAUUAGAUACCCGUGUAGUC
rnacentral:rRNA from 1 species